rnacentral:rRNA from 1 species
AAGCGUUGUUCGGAUUUAUUGGGCGUAAAGCGCGUGUAGGCGGCUUCUUAAGUCUGAUGUGAAAGCCCUGGGCUCAACCCGGGAAGUGCAUUGGAAACUGGGAAACUUGAAUACGGGAGAGGGUAGUGGAAUUCCUGGUGUAGGAGUGAAAUCCGUAGAUAUCAGGAGGAACACCGGUGGCGAAGGCGGCUGCCUGGACCGAUAUUGACGCUGAGACGCGAAAGCGUGGGUAGCAAACAGGAUUAGAUACCCUGGUAGUCCACGCUGUAAACGAUGAGAACUAGGUGUUGCGGGUAUUGACCCCUGCAGUGCC